ACCUUCACGAGCUUUUGACUUCGCGCUUUACAAAAACACUCUAGGGGUAAGACAGACAAGACUACGUGGAGUGGACGUGCUCAGAUUUCCCUUGAUUAAUUG